rnacentral:rRNA from 1 species
UACGGGGGGGGCAAGCGUUGUUCGGAAUUACUGGGCGUAAAGGGCUCGUAGGCGGCCAACUAAGUCAGACGUGAAAUCCCUCGGCUUAACCGGGGAACUGCGUCUGAUACUGGAUGGCUUGAGUGUGGGAGAGGGAUGCGGAAUUCCAGGUGUAGCGGUGAAAUGCGUAGAUAUCUGGAGGAACACCGGUGGCGAAGGCAGUUAACUAUUCUGUUACUGACAUUGAGGCACGAAAGCGUGGGGAGCAAAACGG